rnacentral:lncRNA from 1 species
GUCCAGGACAGGCAGUAGGCGUCAGGGGGCGCCCUAAGGCUCCACGGCAUUUGCCUGUACUGCUGGGACAUCGAGCCUUCCCAAGUCAACCCUGAAGGACCAAGACAACAUCAUCCUUCAGAGGUCACUGAGCGGCAGUGGUCAUCUUGAUAAAGCAGGAGUCUAUUUGAAGGAAACCAUGCUCCAGACAGAAAUAUGUGGAUUGUGAACAUCAAGUGACAUAUCAUGAAUUGAUCAACCACAAAAUAAAUGCAAUACUCCACCAUUUCAGAAAAAUAAACACAGUGCAAG